AUUGAACGCUGGCGGCAGGCCUAACACAUGCACGUCGAACGAGUGGCGGACGGGUGAGUAAUGUCUGGGAAACUGCCUGAUGGAGGGGGAUAACUACUGGAAACGGUAGCUAAUACCGCAUACCAUCGGAUGUGCCCAGAUGGGAUUAGCUAGUAGGUGGGGUAAAGGCUCACCUAGGCGACGAUCCCUAGCUGGUCUGAGAGGAUGACCAGGCACACUGGAACUGAGACACGGUCCAUACGCAGACGGGAGGCAGCAGUGGGGAAUAGUGCACAAUGGGCACAAGCCUGAUGCAGCCAUGCCGGGGGUGUGAAGAAGGCCUUAGGGUUGGAAAGUACUUUCAGCGGGGAGGCGUUACUCGCAGAAGAAGCACCGGCUAACUCCGUGCCAGCAGCCGCGGUAAUAC
rnacentral:rRNA from 1 species